rnacentral:tRNA from 1 species
GGGGUUGUGGCUCAGCGGUAGAGCGUUCGCCUAGCAUGUGUGAGGCCCUGGGUUCAAUCCUCAGCACCA